GCAGCAGCAUGCAAAUAAGAUACUUAGUGUAUAUUAAAAAAUACUAGAAAUACAUAUUUUCCUGAAUAGGUUUUUUUUUUUUUCAGUACGAAGGAGAUUUCGACAUCUGAAGAAUGUCUGUAGGGCCGUUAACACCUUUCAGAAAUGUUCAUAAUAUUAAUAGUUCAUUCCUUUUGUUGGUUCUCCAUUUUUUCUAACAUCUGCAAACUACCCAAUCUCAUAGAGUGUUGAUGAGCUGAUCCUCUGAUUGAAAGAUCCCAGCUUGGCUAGAUGAGGAGAAUCUGUUUUGUGAUGUCCAGGACAGAUUCAGCCUACUCCACACCAAGGAAUGACAAGCGAAGUUUUAAUCCUAGACGUCUGCUUUACAGUGCUUAGGUUUGCCUAAAAUUGAAACAGAUCAUUUUGCUGACCCAUAGAGCACAGAAAAUAAAAGUUCAUAUUGCUAACUGAUCCAGGCCACGUAAGCAUGUAAGGAAAUGUUUAAAAGGAAGUGUCUCUGAGACCACAGGAAUAUAAAAUGAGAAGAUAACAUUUGGAAGACCAAAAGUGCUUGGGACAGAUAAGUAGUCUUUACCCAUUUGUUAUGAUUGUAACCACAGCAUAGCCUCACUGUCUUGACUGAUGUACACGACAUCAGAAUAAUUUCACGACUAAAACAUCAGUUAAAGUAUUGCAAUUAAAUCAAGAGUCAGAGUCAAAUUCCACUUAAUUCAUCACAGAAUUUGCAAAUAUCCUUGUUUCUAUCUUCUCUUGUAUAAAAUGUUGGUUAAAUUAGGAUUUAUUAUUUACAAUUGUUACAUGAGAAUUCAGUGAGAUUUUAUUUUUAAAGCUUUUUGUAUUGUACCUAAACGUGAUGAAAACCUAGUGACUUUACUUAGCGAAAACAAAUGAAAUUACUGUAAGGCAGUGUCCUUCUAACUUUAGUUAAAUGUAAAAGAACAUUAGUCAUUAACAUGUAGGAAAUGUUAAGAAUUUUUAAAUAGAUUUAAAAUAAAAAAUAAAAUAGAGGUGUAGUACUUCCAUUUGCUCAGAAGUAUUGUUUUAAUUACCUGUUGCUGUGAAACAAACCGCACUAACACUCAGUGGCUUACAAAAUUUUCUCAUGGUUGUCAAUAUAGACGGGGUUCAGCUGAGCAGCCAUUCUCCUGGUCUCGUGAUGUUCACUUGUGUGGCUGUGUUCAGGGGUGUGUGGGCUGUGCUCCGCUAAGACUUUGGGAUGGAUGAGCUUUUCUCCCUCUCCAUUUGUCUUCUCUACAUUGUCUGUCCACAUGUCCUCACCACAGGGUAGCCAGACUAAUUGUAUCGUGGCUCAUGCCUUCCAAGUGUACAAAAGCAGAGUUGCUUCUUAAGACUUGGGUCUGACACUUGAACAGUAUCACUUUUGUAAUGGUCUAUUGGUUAAAGCAAAUCACAGGCCAAAACCAGAAUUUAUAUAAGAAUCUACAAAAAGACAUGAAUUUCAAGAUGUAUCGUUCACAAGGGACUAAAGUAACAAUUUGCUACAGACAAAUUAAUUCAUUGGAUAAAUAUUUAUCAAUCAUAUAUUAUUUUCCUAUUCCAGAUACUGAGGAUAUAUCAGUGGGGGAAGAAGACAAAGAUUCCUGCUCUUGAAUAUUUUAUAUUUCAGUGAGGACAAACCAUCAUUAAAUAUAUAAAUAGGUAAAAGAUAUAGGAUGUCAGCAGAGUUCAUCCUGACUGAUGCAUUAGCGCAGCAAUCUACAAUUUUCACAUAGCAGCCUGGGUCUUGUUAGCCUGACCUUUUGAAUGCCAGAGAAUACACAUUAUACCUAUCUCACAAAAUGCCAGGACAAGAUCUAUAAAUAUUGACAGAGUAAAAAACGUUAACACUUUUCUAAUUCUUAUAGUCAAAUACACAAAAGUGCUGUAUAUCAAUAAUAAAAGCACAUAAUAUCUAAAAAUAACAUACACAAGGUGUGAGACACAAUCCUGCAUCAUGGUGUCUACUGUUAUUUAAAAUACAUUACAUUUCAAAAUAAGCAUUUAUUUCCAUUUCUCAAAUGAUGAUUGGGCAGAAAAGACUUAACAAAGCAGAUCUGAGGCUGACAUUCUUGGAAAAAAGUGUUUAUAAAAUUAUUUGUUAGCUGUCGUCUGAAAACUUGGAGUUUGCGAGGGGCUAUUCACUAUUCACUCAGAAUUCAUGAGUGGUCAUGGUACCCAGACUGUUUGUGCAAACAAUAUGGUUUAUACUGAACAAGUAUACCUUUUGAAAGUCAGUAAUUUCGGUAUGUACAAAGUACAGAGUGACUACAUGACCAGCCCCAAUAAAAACCCUGGGUGUUCAGUCUCUAGUGAGCCUCUUUGCUAGGCAAUAUUUCGCAUAUGUUGUCACAACUCAGGUUAAAACAAAUAAGCACCUCCUAUAUGACUCUACUGGGAUAGAACUCUUGGAAGCUUGCGUCUGAUUUCCUCUGAAGUUUGUCCCAUGAAUCUUUUCCCUUUGCAACUUUUGUUUUGCAUAGUUUUGCUGCAAUUAAUUGUAGCCAUGAAUAUGACUACAUGCUGAGUCCUGUGUCUUCUGGAAAAAUUCCAAACCUGAGAUUGAUCUAGGGGACCACUGACACAAAGACACUUCAACUCUGAGAAAGUAAAUUAUUUGUCCUCUGCAUUGUGUCUAAUCACAAAGAUGUUAGUGCUAUGAAAAGCCAUAGUCAAUUGAGAAAAUAGCAUUGAACAUGGCAUAGUUUUACAUUUGUUUAUAUCUUUCUCUAUUUCUUUUUUCAGUAUCCUAUAGUUCUCUGAGUAGAGGUAUUUUACAACUUUGGUUAAGUUUAUUCCUAGGUAUCUUAUUUUUUUAGUCACAGUGGUAAAUGGGAUU